CACGUAGGGCGCAAGCGUUGUCCGGAAUUAUUGGGCGUAAAGAGCUCGUAGGCGGCCAACUAAGUCAUACGUGAAAUCCCUCGGCUUAACCGGGGAACUGCGUCUGAUACUGGAUGGCUUGAGGUUGGGAGAGGGAUGCGGAAUUCCAGGUGUAGCGGUGAAAUGCGUAGAUAUCUGGAGGAACACCGGUGGCGAAGGCGGCAUCCUGGACCAAUUCUGACACUGAGGAGCGAAAGCCAGGGGAGCAAACGGG
rnacentral:rRNA from 1 species